rnacentral:rRNA from 1 species
GGGGCUAUCUGCAGUCGUGCGAUUAAGCCCCCUUCGGGGGGUGCAUAGAGCGGCAAACGGGUGAGUAACAGGUGGAUAAUCUGCCUUCUGGUGGGGGAUAACGGCUGGAAACGGCCGCUAAUACCGCAUGUGGUUGUUGGUGCUCAGGCACCGGCAAAGAAAGGCGCUUCACGGCGCUGCCAGGAGAUGAGUCCGCCCCCCAUUAGCUAGUUGGUAGGGUAACGGCCUACCAAGGCUCCGAUGGGUAGCCGAGCUGAGAGGUUGAUCGGCCACACUGGGACUGAGAUACGGCCCAGACACCUACGGGUGGCAGCAGUAGGGAAUAUUGCGCAAUGGACGAAAGUCUGACGCAGCCAUGCCGCGUGAGUGAUGAAGGCCUUCGGGUCGUAAAGCUCUUUUCUGAGGGAAGAACCACCUGCGGAGGAAAUGCCGCGGGUCUGACGGUACCUCAGGAAUAAGGGACGGCUAACUCCGUGCCAGCAGCCGCGGUAAUACGGAGGUCCCAAGCGUUGUUCGGAAUUACUGGGCGUAAAGGGAGCGCAGGCGGACCGGUCAGUCUGGAGUGGAAUCCCGGGGCUCAACCUCGGAAGGCCUCCGGAUACUGCCGGUCUUGAGUUCGUGAGAGGAAAGCGGAAUUCAGGGUGUAGCGGUGAAAUGCUUAGAUAUCCUGAGGAACACCAAUGGCGAAAGCAGCUUUCUGGCGCGAAACUGACGCUGAGGCUCGAAAGCGUGGGUAGCGAACGGGAUUAGAUACCCCGGUAGUCCACGCCGUAAACGUUGUCAACUAGGUGCGGGAGGUAUCGACCCCUUCCGUGCCGCAGCUAACGCACUAAGUUGACCGCCUGGGGAGUACGCGCGCAAGCGUGAAACUCAAAGGAAUUGACGGGGGCCCGCACAAGCGGUGGAGCAUGUGGUUUAAUUCGAGGCAACGCGAAGAACCUACCCAGGCUUGACAUCCCAGGACAGCCCCUGAAAGCGGGUCUUUCCUUUCGGGGACCUGGAAACAGGUGUUGCAUGGCUGUCGUCAG